UACGAAGGGGGCUAGCGUUGCUCGGAAUGACUGGGCGUAAAGGGUGCGUAGGCGGUUUGAUAAGUCUGAUGUGAAAUCUAUGGGCUCAACCCAUAGUCUGCAUUAGAAACUGUCGGGCUUGAGUAUGGGAGAGGUGAGUGGAAUUUCCGGUGUAGCGGUGAAAUGCGUAGAUAUCGGAAGGAACACCUGUGGCGAAAGCGGCUCACUGGACCAUUACUGACGCUGAUGCACGAAAGCUAGGGGAGCAAACAGG
rnacentral:rRNA from 1 species